rnacentral:rRNA from 1 species
CAGUCGCCACGGGAAUACCAGCAGCCCAAGUGGUGGUCGCGUUUAUUGGGCCUAAAGCGCUCGUAGCCUGACCGGUAAGUUCCCAGUGAAAUCGGGUCGCCCAACGAUUCGGCUUGCGGGGAAUACUGUCGGUCUUGGGGCCGGGAGACGCCGAGGGUACUCCGGGGGUAGCGGUGAAAUGCUGUAAUCCUCGGGGGACUACCAGUGGCGAAGGCGCUCGGCGAUAACGGGCCUGACGGUGAGGGGCGAAAGCUGGGGGCGCGAACGGGAUUAGAUACCCCCGUAGUCCCUGUCUCUUAUA